UCUAGGUUGUCUGACUAUGGACUAUACACACUCGUCUCCUUGAAGAAGUGAACACGGUCCCUUAUAUACUGGUUACGGAAAUUGCAGUGUAGGAAAUAAACAGUAACGUGACAGUAAAUAAAUGGAGGAGAGGCUCCCUUAAAUAGGGACCAGGGACUCCAGAGGCACAACUUAGAUUUAAGAAUUAAAUAAAACCCAGACAUUCAGAGGCCAAAGGGCAGAGUCUCCAGGUAGGAGAAAUACAAAAUGCAAAAUCUCUGACAUGGAAAUAACCUGACAUUUUCUUGCAGUAUAUCGGAGGCCAGCCCAGGAUGCUUGAAGCACAAAGAACAGGAAGGUUAAAAAAUGAGGUUAGAGAGACAGGCAGAAGCCAGAUCAUGUCUGGCUCAUUGAGCCACAGUAAACUGUGUGGCUUUUAAGUGCAGGUGAAGGAUCAUUUUUAAUGCUCCACAUUGGCUACAAACUGUAUGUCCCAUCUCUUGAUGGUAUAUGGCAACAUGCUUUUUCUCUUCAAAUCUCCAAUCUAACUUAAUUUUAUCUUUUAUAAUGUCAUCCAAUUUCUUCCCUCAUCAAAAAUCAAAAAAAGAACAAUAGUUUAUUGAAUUGCUACCUUUUUGAAAAACAAUUCUGGAAAAAUUUAACACAAACAAAUAAGUUUAAUAUUCUUUUUCUGGUUAGAGUAGACAAACUUCAGGUUCUAACCUUGACAUUGCCCUCACAUAUGCAGCUAGUCCUCAGAAAAACACUUGACCUUAUAAUACCACCAUUUCUUCAAAUUUUAGGGGAAAAAAGCACAAGGUUUAGAGUGAUUAUAUAAGAUUAUGAAUAAAAAUAUAUAAAAAUUAUAUAUCAGUGUACAUGAUUAUGUUAUGAAAAAAGCAUGCAAUAUGGAGUAAAAUAAAAUAUUUUGGUUAAUACACGAUUCUGAAAAUAAAGUUUUAUUAUUUAUGAUUUUGUGAAAAGGAAGUCAAAUUAUUAGUCAAAGUUAUCUGAGUAAAAACAUCUUUUAUAAAGAAAUGUCAACACAAUUUUCAGUUUUGAUCUAGAAAAAUAAUCAUAAAUGUACUAGUUUUUAUUCAUAUAAAACGAAGUUAUAAAUCACAAAAGGGAGAAACGUAUUUGCAUCAAAGAUAAUGGAUAAAGAUUUAAUAUCUUUAGCUCUUUCCCAUCUUGCAAGAUGGCGGGUGAAAAAGUUGAGAAGCCAGAUACUAAAGUGAAGAAACCAGAAGCCAAGAAGGCUGAUGCUGGUGGCAAGGUGAAAAAGGGUCAAGGCUAAAAAGCCCAAGAAGGGGAAGCCCCAUUGCAGCUGCAAUCCUGUCCUUGUUACAGGAAUUGGCAGGUAUUCCCAGUCUACCAUGUAUUCCAUAAAGGUCAUGUACAAGAGGAAGUACUCAGCUGCUAAAUCCAAGGUUGAAAAGAAAAAGGAGAAGGUUCUUGCAACUGUUACAAAACCAGCUGGUAGUGACAAGAACGGUGGUAUCUGGGUGGCUAAACUUUGCAAAAUGCCUACAUAUUAUCCUACUGAAGAUAUGCCUCAAAAGCUAUUGAGCAGUGGCAAAAAACCCUUCAGUCAGCAUGUGAGAAAACUGUGAGCCAGCAUUACCCCUGGGACCAUUCUGAUCAUCUGACACCACAGGAGCAAGAGCGUGGUUUUACUGAAGCAACUGGCUAGUGGCUUGUUACUUGUGACUGGACCUCUGGUCCUCAAUCCAGUUCCUUUACAAAUAACACAACAGAAAUUUGAUAUCAAUUUUGCUAUCAACCAAAUUUGGUAUCAACCAAAGUUGAUAUCAGCAAUGUAAAAAUCCCAAAACAUCUUACUGAUGCUCACUUCAAGAAGCAGCUGCAGCAGAAGCCCAGACACCAGGAAGGUGAGAUCUUCGACACAGAAAAAGAGAAAUAUGAGAUUACAGAGCAGUGCAAGAUUGAUCAGAAACCUGUGGACUCACAAAUUUUACCAAAAAUCUAAUCUAUUCCUCAGCUCCAGGGCUACCUGUGAUCUGUGUUUGCCCUGACAAAUGGAAUUUAUCCUCAAAAAUCGGUGUUCUAAAUGUCUUAAGAACCUAAUUAAAUAACUGAUUACC